rnacentral:lncRNA from 10 species
CAGCUACAUAAGCAUUCAGGAGAAAGUGGACAACCUUUUUUAGCAACAUAUUCCAGAGCCACAGGGUCACACAGUGCUUCCGCAGAAGGCCCAGUGUAAACAUAUAUCAUUUGCUGCCGGUGAAGACCCAGAAGCAUCAUUCUCUGGUCCUCCCCAGCCCAGGUUUCCCAAACUGUUUACAGCACACACACCAUCCCAACCCACUGCCCACACAUCAUCCCAACCCACUGCACACACACUAUCCCAACCCACUGCACACACACCAUCCCAACCCACUGCCCACACAUCAUCCCAACCCACUGCACACACACUAUCCCAACCCACUGCACACACCACUCCAACACACUGCACACACACCAUCCCAACACGCUGCACAACCACCCCAACACAGUGCACACACACCAUCCCAACACGCUGCACACACACCACCCCAACACACUACAUACACACCAUCCCAACACACUACACACACACCACCCCAACACACUACAUAACACCAUCCCAACCCACUGCACACACACCAUCCCAACACACUGCACACACACCAUCCCAACCCACUACAUAACACCAUCCCAACCCACUGGACACACACUAUCCCAACCCACUGCACACACACCAUCCCAACACACAGCACACACACCAUCCCAACACACUACAUAACACCAUCCCAACCCACUGCACACACACCAUCCCAACACACAGCACACACACCAUCCCAACCCACUUCACACACUCCAUUCCAACCCACUUCACACUUGUCAUUCCUACCCACUGCACACACACCAUCCCAAGCCACUGUAUACACACAAUUACAACGCUACUCUUCUCCCAAAUAUUAUCUUAUGAGUCAUGAAAGCAAAUUUUCUACUUAAAUUCACUCCACCAGCUUUUAUAUCUCUGGAGUCCUUGAUCCUGAUGAUGAUAUUAUCUAGAUAACUCACUGAUUUUACUUGAUCUUAAUGGAUGUUUUAAUGGAACAGCAUAGCUGUAGACCUGUUAGGAGUAGCUCUACUUGCUGUUCUUCAAGUCAUAGUUGACUUGUAUGAUUGCCAACUCUGUCUUUUGGCUUACCUGCCCCUUC